rnacentral:rRNA from 1 species
CCUACGGGAGGCAGCAGUAGGGAAUUUUCGUCAAUGGGCGCAAGCCUGAACGAGCAAUGCCGCGUGAACGAUGAAGGUUUUCGGAUUGUAAAGUUCUGUUUAUGGGGAAAAAGAGCGGAGAGAGUAUAUGCUUUCUGAUUUAUAUUACCCUUCGAGGUAGUCACGGCUAACGACGUGCGAGCAGCUGCGGUAAUAGGUAGGUGGCGAGCGUGAACUGGUAUGAUUGGGCGUAAAGGUGGCGUAGGCGGCCUGCUAAGUCUGGAGUGAAAGGUACCGGCUCAACCGUUACAGUCUCUGGAAACUGGCGAGGCAGAGGGCAGGAGAGGGCAGUGGAAAUGCAUGUGGAGCGGGAAAAUGCGUAGA